AAGUUCAGUUUAAUAUACUUUAUUCAAUAAAAAUCCAAUCUGUGCCAAAAGAGGUGCCAGUCAUGCUGCGAGCCGGCUACCCAACCCCACUCCCCUGGGGGGUCGAAGAGGGCGGGAAGGGGGAGGUAGGAUUUUACCAAUGCUCUGUCCAGCGUCAAGGUGUUCUCUCACCCCCUGGCACCAUUCCGAAACAGUGGCCGAAACAUGUCUCGUGUGGCCAAUGAGAGACAUGAUAAGCGAUCGAACAGAAACGGUCACAUAUUGAAAGGUCCGAAACAGUCUAAUUGGUCAGCAGUGCUGACAAAUAUUCCAAACAUAGUCCGAAUUAAGCCGAAACAGAAUUUAGUCUUUGGCAAUGAGCUACCUAAGAAAUAACAAACCUAAGACAAACUACUAGUAACUAUUCCUCAUCUUCUAUACACCUGUCCCAAGCUAUCCUAGUUUUCACCUGCAGAAGAAAGACAGGAAACUUUCCCAGGACCACACUAUUUCCUAUACAGAACAAACAAGAAAGGGAACAGGCAUACGCAGAAACAGACAAUCCUUAAUAGAUGUGUAGAUUGUACAACAAAUGUAGCUAUACAGCCAAAACAUGAAAAAAUAAAUAGCCAGGAGUACAAAAUUUGAGACAAAACCUCAAAGAAUUUGACUGAAUGAACGGAUAAAUAAAACACCAAAAAAAAAGUUACCAGCUUAGCAUGACUUGUGAUCAUCUAGUUGGUUUAUGAUGGGUUACCUACAAGAGAAGGGAGGGAACAGCAAAAAACAAACAUCCAAAGAAAAAACAAAACGAAAUGGGGAUGUAUCAGAAACGGUCAGGCACAGGGAGAAAGCACCAGUAAGUGUAACCUUGUAUGCAGAGCAGCCAAUCACAACUGGACAGAUGAUGCAUUUCCACAGGCUACCCUUCUAGAGUCUAGAGAAAAAGGUCAACAGGUUAAAAGCCCCUCCCCCACCCCGUCAGCACGCAACCUUUAUUCGUGGUAUUCAAAAUAUAAGCAUGUUAGCUAAUUUAAGUACACAAAGCGAGACCCAAAGUGCGUAACCAUGAUACGAAAGUAAAAUUUGUAUCUAACUUUUAACGAAAAGACAACCAGAAACUAUGAAAAUGAUGAGCAGAGGUUACCCGAGUAUGGCCAAGUCCUUGCAAAGUAUGGCGCAGUAGCAACAGCACUUAGGGAGUUACCUGAAAAUACAUCAAUACUUCCCCCAACCACAAACAUGUUUGUUACCGUGAACUGAAACUAAUUAAUACUUUAUUACUUAUUAUUGCAUUAAAUUACUUUAUAUGGAGUUUAUCUGAAGUGAUAAAAUAAAUGUUAUCAGAAUUUUGACCUGUUAUCUUCUUUGCCUUUUCUGUGUCUUCUGAAGCAUCUCUCGUCACCUGUAUAAAAUGAACUCAAGAGGUUGUCGGCCCCUCCCCACUUCCCCCAGAAAAGCACGAAAAAGUUUGAAACAUUGGGAGUAAAAUUUUUGGCUCACUGAGAUGUCUCUUCAUAGCUUUCUGUCCUUGGUCAUUUCUUGAUGUUUUUUUAUGGCGGUCUGUAAACACAGCCUGACUACCUUGCCUCCUAGUGUGUCACUCCAUCUUCAGCUUGCACUUUUUUCUUAAUCAUGGGCCUUGCUUGAAAUCCUCGCCAAUCUUGAUUUAUGGUGGCCUGAAAAUACAAACUAGGAAACCUUGUUUCCCCCCUCCCCAAUGUGGAAAUGGUUCAAGACAUCAAAAUGGCUCACAUCAAACUUGGAACGGGUUGUUCUUCACUUUGGGGCUGCAAAUCCUGGUCACUAUAUGCACUGCACUCUGAAAAAGCAACUGUAGAACACUUGUCUUCUUCCCCCCCUUCCCAAUGUGGCAAAGAUGGAAAUUCUAGAUGUGCAAAGACUUUUUGCUCACUUCAUCCUUCAGUUGUAACUUGUUUCUUCACUGGUAGUAACUUAUUUCUUGUCUUGCUAUCUUCAGUUGUGUUCUGAAAAAUAACUAGUGGGAUUUGUUUCCCCCCCUUUUCCCAAUAUGACAAGAGGUAAAAACUUUUUGGAAGUUUUGCUUACUCUUUCUUCUGGUUGUUUCUUCUGUCUUGGUUCUUGCUUGUUAUCUUCAGUUAUGGUAGUCUGAAAAAUAACUGUAGAGAGCUUUGUCUCCCCCCGUUUCCCAAUAUGACAAGGGAUAAAAAUUUUUAUGGAUGUUUCGCUCACUCUUUCUUCUUGUUGCAACUGGUUAUUCUUCUCUCUUUCCUUGCUUGUUAUCUUCAUGAAAAUUCAUCGUGUUUGGUCAUCUGAAAAUACACUAAAACAGCCUGUCCAUCCCCCCAAGCUUCCCUGGUUGCAGAGAUCACGAAAAUGUUUUGCAUUUCUUCAUACAUGUAUCUUCAAGUAAGGUAACCAUCUGACCACUUUCUUCAACAGCCUUCUUCUGAUGGGACUGCCCACUCUUCCUUUUGUCAUACUGCUGAACUGUCGACAUUUAAAAGCCCCCCUCCCCAAUCAUCUAUAUUGGAUGCAAGGUGCAGUUAAAUACAGAAAGAGGGCUUAACACAUUGGAAACAAAAAUUGUGCGCAUUAGGAAAGUUGCCUUUAGAACUAAGGACUUAAGUCAGUUAUUGAGUACUUGUACUGCAACACUGUAGUCUAAGGAAAAACCAGAGAAAACCUGAUCAAUCUUGCCUUCUUGAUACUGGAAAACUUUCACGUUUGAUGCCAGAACUCGUAGAAAAACUUAGCCUUGUCCAUUCUUUAAUGAUCUUGAGCUCCUACAGUUAGGACUUGAAACCACCUCCCUGUAUUCUUGGGUCUUCUCAUCCUGUGGGUACUUGGAAUAAUGGAAACAACAAUUUGAGAACAGUGCCCCCCUCCCCAAUAUGGAGAAAUUUGGAAAGCAAUCUUGAUUGGAACCUUGAAUGUAUCUCUUGGCUCUUAAGGCUUGGUUUCUUGGGUGUUCCUUUCUUGACUCAUACCAAUUCUAAAACAACUCCAGGAUCCCCCGUCUGGUCUGGAAGUCAGAACUUGCAAGCAGCAUGGAUUUGGCAGAUGAUGCACAGCCUAGGCUAGCUCCCUUCUCUUGGGUCUGUUCCUUUCUUCAGUUUCAAGAGACCUGAAAAAGUAACCUCAAAACACUUUGCCCCUCUUCCCCAGCAAGAGAACAAAAAUUUCCGUUCCUUUCACUGCAACAAAUUUUCCUUAUUCAGUCAAGAGGUUGGAAUAACCAAAUGUCAAUUGUACCAACACAAAUUCAUUUAAGAAUGGCUCAACUUGCCUCUCCACAAAUGAGAACACUGGUUCUGCAGGAGUACAAAAUGUUUGCUUAGACUGCAAAAGCUUGCUCACUUGUCCUUUUCUUCACCUUGAGGCCUGUCUUCAUCUUGUCCAAAUAGCACCUAAACCUCAAUGAACCUGGUCCAUCUGCAACAAGAACUAAAGACCGUUGCCCCCCUUAAAACCCUAAAUAGGAAAAAUUGAGACUACAGCAAUCCAAAAGUGCUUACGACUCAAGCGCCAUCGACUGGAAAAUAACAUUUCUGCUGUCUGCAGCUCAAAUUCACCUUGGGUUAUCUAUGUGAAGGGGGAAAAAAAGAAUUUAAUCUCCCCCCCACCCCAAUAACGUUCUCUGUUUCAAAAACAAUUGACACAUAAAACGUCUUCAAAACUUAAUGUUGAUAUCAACCUUUUUUAAAAGUGUAACAAGAGAUAUACAAAAACCAAGUAAAAAGGCUCUAUUGGACAAAACAAGCUUGUUACCAGCUAACAGCAUGGUGGUAGUCCAAGAAUAGUGCAGUACCCAAUAGUCACAGCAGAUUGAUGCAAACCUAUAGAAGGAAAAAAACAGUAACACUACCCAACCCCCCCUAAAUAAAUCCAGUAAUUCAUGUCACAACUAGAACUAUUUGGUUUUUACUCCAUGAGUUUGUACAUGAGUCAGUAUUACAGACAAAACAGGUAUUGCAGGAGAGUAUUUAACACUCGCAGGUGCAAAUAAGAGUUAAAUAACACAAGGGGCAUCUACAAAAAUUAAGAUAUUCUUACUACAUGCAACUUUUGCAAACAACUUUCAGAAAAAUUAACACUUACUAGCUUGACCCCAAAGCACUACAGUGGAAACACUGGUCUUUCGUAUUAGACUAGCUGAACCUGCAGGAAUGUAAUGUUUGCAACAUACACACAAAAACAUAUUGCGUUCACACUUAAAGCUCAAGGCCAACCUUUUUCUAUACAAGUUUGCACAUUAACAUCAAACAUUGAUCUGUAUCAACCACGCAUAUCCAGUUUUACACUUGAAUUUGCUCAAUUCAUUGUAUUAUUACAACCCAUAAGAUUUGUCAGUAUACAACACUUUUAGGUCAUCACUUCCUUUUAAGUAUACAUGUAUAAACAAAUACCCUGAUUGCCGUUAUGAAGAACUUGGUUACCCUGGUUGCCUUAGAACAGUAGUCACAUUACCACAGUUGCCCACAGUUCCUAACGCACAUUCUGGUCUACUACAGCAUAGCAGGAGUGCUUUCAUCUUGCAUAGACCUGUAUCAAGCGCACUUCAAAAACACACAACCAAAACACAAUGCAAGAAUCUGACAGAUUUACAGAGUGUAAAUGCACAAUACUAACAAUAAGACUUUGAAAAACAAAAAGGUGCAACACCCCUAUAUGUACAAUUCAUAUAUGGAUCCUACAGAUUAAAACAAUCUAAAAAAAUUGUUCAGCUGGCAUUUGAAAGUGCAGCCUUCUAAACAUAUUGUCAUACCGUGCUCUAUGAUCCUCUCUAAAACCUCACAACCACGGCUCCUGUAGGCAGGCAUGUGUUGUGUACAGCGCGCAAGUAGCGGGUACCUGUAAUACCAUCAACAACAUCCCCCCAACAUAGCAACCCCCAAUAACUAUUUUAUUACACCAUCAAAAUGCUUCUCAUCGGAAAACAUGUUUCCAGCAAACAAAAAAUUCUUACGAUUUCUUUUUUCAUUCAAUGCAAUGCUGUUGAUUUCAACCCAGGAUUGGAUUCUAUGUCCUAACAGAAAACUUGUUUCAAACUACCGGUUAUCGAUAUACAUAUACUUUAUUUCUUAACAAAAGUUCUGACCAGUAAGGUUUAAAACUUAUUGUACUUGUCAUACCAUACUUAAUAACAAAGUUAUAACCAAUGUUUUACAAAGACUUGCCUUACACUACCGAAACAGGAGUCCCUCUUGAAGACCUGGACCAUUCUUGCUGAUGAUAACCUUUCCUCUUGGGCCUGGUAGCCAAUAUCCAGACCUCUGCAAAGGCAAUUUAAAAAAUCCCCUCCCCACACAAAACAUGUUUGUGAACCCAACCAUUAAGUUUAAUAAAACUAACUAUCACAAAAAUAUGUAAUGCAAAGACAAUCUGUCUUGCUAUGAGGUUGAUACCCUUCUACAGGUUUUCUUGAUCAUACACAACUUUUCAGAUCAUACACGACUUUUCAGAUCAUACAAGACUUUUCAGAUCAUACACGACUUUUCAGAUCAUACUUUCAAGAUCAUACAUGACUUUUCAGACACAGGUACAGUCAACACAUUUCAUGACAGGUAAAGACAAAACACAUUGUUGCCCACUACCUUUAAGAGUUACGGCACAUCACAGGUGCAUAGACUUGUUCAGUUUCAGAGUGACAGUAUUAUCUUUUGAAGUGCAAAGACUUGCCAGGUCUAUACUUGAUCAUGGCAGGGACAGCUGGGCUGAACAGUCAGGACAGUAGCAGAGACUCGCUCACACUUUUGGAAACCUUCCUCCUGAAUGGGGCUGACAAACUCCUGGCCAAGGGGGUCCACUGGACUUCCCCCAUCAUACCAACUACCCUGGAAAAAGCAAGCUUGACAUUUCCCCUCCCUGUAUCCCCCAAAACACCAUAUACCAUCUACACUACGAUACAAAAAGUAGUAACCAUGCAAAAGACAAAACAACAGCAUAAGCCUUGAUGACAAACGUACCAACAUAAAGUUUGACAAUGUAAUGUUUAAAAUUGCUGUACUUUGUUCAAGAUUGAUGGUGCUUGCAAAACAGAUGCGCAUUUACAGUAGUUACAUGCUGACAUUUCUGAACUCUUUAGUUACUAGUAUACAGAUUAUAGUUAUGAUGUGACAUGGUUUAAAAAUGUAGUUAUAUCCAUACACAACGCUUGUUAUGGUAGAAAGAACUGUUUAACAGAAGACAUACAGUACUUAACUACAAUGGAAUGGUUUGCGUGCAUACCAUAAGUCUCUCUUCUACCGCAGCAAGAGUACAUGAACAGCGAUACUCUGGAUAUGCAAGGUUUGGAGUGCAUGUUUGGGAGACAACCUAUUUCUGCAGUAACAGCAAGGGGAAGAAAACAGCCGCAAAAAUCCCCAACACAACACAACCCGGGAAAGAUAAUAAACAGAAAUACACAGGGCAAUGACAGUUACUUCAAAGCAAAAGAUGAUUGGAUAUAGUUAACUCCACAUAGCAUAUAGGAUUUGUUAUAAAAUAAAAAUUGGCAAAGUGUCAGCCUAGGUUUGUAGUAAUGCGCGAAACGACGUUACCCCACGGAGAAUGAGAUGGGCAGUGGUUUAGCGGAGAUGGACCAUGUUAUUGGAUCGCGAUGACAGUUGUGCUGCACGGAGAACACGGUUUAUGUGAAGAUGCACGAGAGGUCACAGGCGCUGCUUGCCUAGGGAAAGACUAGGAAGACAGAUGUUUGCAACAACCACCCCCCCUCAGCAAAGUCUCAAAUAUUGCACAGUAUUGCAAAUACCAAGUACUUUGUUUGGUUCUUCUAUGCAUCUACAGCAAUCCCUCAUUCCAUCCUUCAAUUUUCCUUCCAUUCAAUUCAAAGCAUACAAGAUUUAUUUGUGACAAAAGCUAGAAACGACAGCUUAAGUAAAUGCAUAGUAGUACAUAUAUGCAUAGUAGUACAUAUAUAAACCUGGAUAUGUCUGCAGGACAAGUUGCGCAAAGUGCAGAUAAAGGCUUGACGUCAUGCUUAUGCCAGCUGACAUGGACUGCAAGACUCGCGUGAAGGGUUUAGGUGGUCUGGUGAUGCCGUUUGGUCAGGAAAAAUGCACAAUCUUAGCGGCAGCCAUCCUAAAAUCUUGACAAGGGGGAGAACAGAAGACAUAAAACCCACCCCAACCCCAAAGACAAGGCAGAAACACAAGUGCUGCUUCAACACAAGUAGAUAAAACCUUCAUCACAUCUACAGAAGUGCAUUUUAGUAGAAAAAUACGUAAUCACUACAAGAUCUCAACACCAUAUUACACGAAGGUGCAUUGAAUUGCAAAGUAUAUUAAAAGAAAUGUUACUUCAGAGCACACUAUUGCAGAUCUUGGAAAGGGUGGGGCUUGUUAUAACAUUAUUUAAAGAAAUCACAAUACCAAGCGUUUGUGCGUUUGUCAGCAGGGACACGCAGGCAACAGACUUCAGAAUCAGAGUGGAGAGGGUUGACAGAUGGUUUGCUGGUAUUUACGCUUUUAUCCUACACGACUGUGAAGUUGGCGACUGUAGUGAGGACUGUGGAGACUUGUACAGCUCAAGGGCUUGACAGGUAUGUUGUGUGAAGACAGAGGUUCCCCUGUAGAUCCCCUCUUUAGUGAGUUUCCGAAACCUGUAACAAAGUCUAGGGAAACACGGAAGAACCCACCCCUCCCCACCAAAACAUGAAGCAAA